rnacentral:rRNA from 1 species
GACGAACGCUGGCGGCGUGCUUAAUACAUGCAAGUCGACUGAACUUAAGGUAGCAAUAUUUUAAGGGAGGUGGCGCACGGGUGAGUAACACGUAGGUAAUCUGCCUUUAGGACUGACAUAACCCAGAGAAAUCUGGGCUAAUAUCAGAUGAUGCAGCGGCUCGACAUCGAGACAGUUGUUAAAUCUUCGGAGCCUAAAGAUGAGCCUGCGUCUGAUUAGGUAGUUGGCGGAGUAAAAGCCCACCAAGCCUGCGAUCAGUAGCUGGUCUGAGAGGAUGAUCAGCCACACUGGAACUGAGACACGGUCCAGACUCCUACGGGAGGCAGCAGUGGGGAAUUUUUCGCAAUGGGGGAAACCCUGACGAAGCAACGCCGCGUGGAGGAUGAAGGUCUUCGGGUCGUAAAGCACUUUUUGCAGGGAAGAGGAAGGACGGUACCUGCAGAAUAAGUCUCGGCUAACUACGUGCCAGCAGCCGCGGUAAGUGACG